rnacentral:tRNA from 1 species
GCUUAACUUCUGUGUUCAGCGGUAGAAUACAACCUUGCCAAGGUUGGGGUCGCGGGUUCGAAUCCCGUCUUCUGCUCCA